rnacentral:rRNA from 1 species
GUGAGGAAUUUUCCGCAAUGGGCGAAAGCCUGACGGAGCAAUGCCGCGUGAAGGAUGAAGGCCUAUGGGUUGUAAACUUCUUUUCUUAGAGAAGAAUAUUGACGGUAUCUGAGGAAUAAGCAUCGGCUAACUUCGUGCCAGCAGCCGCGGUAAGACGAGGGAUCCUAGCGUUGCUCGGAAUCAUUGGGCGUAAAGAGGGCGUAGGUGGCUUGGUAAGUCAGGUGUGAAAGCCCAGGGCUCAACCCUGGAAGUGCAUUUGAUACUGCUGAGCUUGAGUGUCGGAGAGGUUACCGGAAUACCUGGUGUAGUGGUGAAAUACGUAGAUAUCAGGUGGAACACCGGAGGCGAAGGCGGGUAACUGGACGAACACUGACACUGAGGCCCGAAAGCGUGGGGAUCAAACAGGAUUAGAAACCCGGGUAGUCC